GUACACUCCUACGGGAGGCAGCAGUGGGGAAUAUUGGACAAUGGGCGCAAGCCUGAUCCAGCCAUGCCGCGUGAGUGAUGAAGGCCCUAGGGUUGUAAAGCUCUUUCACCGGAGAAGAUAAUGACGGUAUCCGGAGAAGAAGCCCCGGCUAACUUCGUGCCAGCAGCCGCGGUAAUACGAAGGGGGCUAGCGUUGUUCGGAAUUACUGGGCGUAAAGCGCACGUAGGCGGAUCGAUCAGUCAGGGGUGAAAUCCCAGGGCUCAACCCUGGAACUGCCUUUGAUACUGUCGAUCUGGAGUAUGGAAGAGGUGAGUGGAAUUCCGAGUGUAGAGGUGAAAUUCGUAGAUAUUCGGAGGAACACCAGUGGCGAAGGCGGCUCACUGGUCCAUUACUGACGCUGAGGUGCGAAAGCGUGGGGAGCAAACAGGAUUAGAAACCCCAGUAGUCC
rnacentral:rRNA from 1 species